GAUGAACGCUAGCGGGAGGCUUAACACAUGCAAGUCGAGGGGCAGCACGAGGUAGCAAUACUUUGGUGGCGACCGGCGCACGGGUGAGUAACGCGUAUGCAACCUACCCUGUACAGGGGGAUAACCCGGAGAAAUUCGGACUAAUACCCCAUAAAGAUAUUUAGAGGCAUCUUUGAAUAUCUAUAGUUCCGGCGGUACGGGAUGGGCAUGCGUAACAUUAGCUAGUUGGUAAAGUAACGGCUUACCAAGGCAACGAUGUUUAGGGGUCCUGAGAGGGUGAUCCCCCACACUGGUACUGAGACACGGACCAGACUCCUACGGGAGGCAGCAGUGAGGAAUAUUGGUCAAUGGGCGCAAGCCUGAACCAGCCAUCCCGCGUGAAGGAAGAAUGCGCUAUGCGUUGUAAACUUCUUUUCCAGGGGAAUAAAAUUUUGUACGUGUACGGAAUUGAAGGUACCCUGGGAAUAAGCAUCGGCUAACUCCGUGCCAGCCGCCGCAGUAAAAC
rnacentral:rRNA from 1 species